GUCACACAUCGAGAAGGGCUUCCAUGACGGCAACGUCUAGGGGGCCUUUUUCUUUUGCUCGUUCCCUUCCUUUGCAAAU
rnacentral:antisense_RNA from 2 species